rnacentral:rRNA from 1 species
UACGGAGGGGGCUAGCGUUGUUCGGAAUUACUGGGCGUAAAGCGUACGUAGGCGGCUUUGUAAGUUAGAGGUGAAAGCCCGGGGCUCAACUCCGGAACUGCCUUUAAGACUGCAUCGCUAGAAUUGUGGAGAGGUGAGUGGAAUUCCGAGUGUAGAGGUGAAAUUCGUAGAUAUUCGCAAGAACACCAGUGGCGAAGGCGGCUCACUGGCCCGGUACUGACGCUGAGGUGCGAAAGCGUGGGGAGCAAACAGG